GAGAGAAUGAAAGAGCAAGGACGACAUCAACCAAGUAUGGAGGAUAAACUUGGAAGGUAUGUUUUUGCGGAAGGUGUAGCUGCUUUGCUUUUCAAUCGAUUUGUUGAAUCACCAAUUACAGUGGGUAUUUCUGGUGAAUGGGGUAUGGGAAACUCCAGUCUGAUGAUUCAGAUUGAAAAGAUUUUACUCAUUACAGAAGCCCAGCUAACGUUUCCGA